GAAAGGCAAAGAAAAAUAAUUCCAGUGAAACUUCAGGGAGAAAGGCAGAAAUAACUACAGAAUUGGAAUGCUUCCAGAACAUGGAGCUAACAUCCUGAUUAUUAGAGGAUCAUCUUUUACAGUCACAAGUGCUUUGAGAUGAACCUAAUCCAUCGGUUCCUGCUUCCCCAAAAGGCCACUUCUAAUUCUUUCUGAAAAUAUGGCCACCCGGUACCCAUCAGUAUAAAGAAAAACGGAGAGGAGAGAACCACAGGCCGCUUCAUUAUUGAAAUUAUCUUUCCUGCAUUUCUGAAGAUCAGCUUUGCUCUUCUUUUGUUCAGGUAUAGUAUUCUUGCUUGAGAAUUUUUUGUUUCAAUGCUUUGAGUAUAUCAUCUAUUUCUCCCUGGUCUGGUCCCUUGCCCAAGCAAGACUUCAGGAAAGGAUCCUGAGUUGCCUGGAUUCUCAUAUCAGGCUUCCUCAGCUAGCAGGACAGGGUACUAUACUCACCAGAAGAUAGGGCUAUGCAUUAG